rnacentral:piRNA from 1 species
UAAAAAGUGCUAUUGAGGCAAGUGGGAC